rnacentral:rRNA from 1 species
GACGAACGCUGGCGGCGUGCUUAACACAUGCAAGUCGAACGGAAAGGCCCUGCUUUUGUGGGGUGCUCGAGUGGCGAACGGGUGAGUAACACGUGAGUAACCUGCCCUUGACUUUGGGAUAACUUCAGGAAACUGGGGCUAAUACCGGAUAGGAGCUCCUGCUGCAUGGUGGGGGUUGGAAAGUUUCGGCGGUUGGGGAUGGACUCGCGGCUUAUCAGCUUGUUGGUGGGGUAGUGGCUUACCAAGGCUUUGACGGGUAGCCGGCCUGGGAGGGUGACCGGCCACAUUGGGACUGAGUUACGGCCCAGACUCCUACGGGAGGCAGCAGUGGGGAAUAUUGCACAAUGGGCGGAAGCCUGAUGCAGCAACGCCGCGUGCGGAAUAACGGCCUUCGGGUUGUAACCCGCUUUCGCCUGUGACGAAGCGUGAGUGACGGUAAUGGGUAAAGAAGCACCGGCUAACUACGUG